AGUAGUUGAUCAUGGCUCAGGACGACGCUGGCGGCGUGCUUAACACAUGCAAGUUGAACGGUGAAGGGAAGCUUGCUUCCCGGAUCAGUGGCGAACGGGUGAGUAACACGUGGGCAAUCUGCCCCAGACUUUGGGAUAACUACUCGAAAGAGUAGCUAAUACCGAAUAUUCAGCCUUGCAGGCAUCUGCGAGGCUGGAAAGUUUCUCGGUCUGGGAUGAGCCCGCGGCCUAUCAGCUAGUUGGUGAGGUAAUGGCUCACCAAGGCGACGACGGGUAGCCGGCCUGAGAGGGCGACCGGCCACACUGGGACUGAGACACGGCCCAGACUCCUACGGGAGGCAGCAGUGGGGAAUAUUGCGCAAUGGGCGAAAGCCUGACGCAGCAACGCCGCGUGCGGGAUGAAGGCCUUCGGGUUGUAAACCGCUUUCAGCAGGGAAGAAGCGAAAGUGACGGUACCUGCAGAAGAAGCACCGGCUAACUACGUG
rnacentral:rRNA from 1 species